rnacentral:rRNA from 1 species
GAUGAACGCUGGCGGCGUGCUUAACACAUGCAAGUCGAACGGAAACAGGAUGAAGCCUAGCGAUUCCUGUUUUAGUGGCGGACGGGUGAGUAACGCGUGGGUAACCUGCCUUACACUGGGGGAUAACAGUUAGAAAUAGCUGCUAAUACCGCAUAAGCGCACAGGGCCGCAUGGCCUGGUGUGAAAAACUCCGGGGGUGUAAGAUGGACCCGCGUCUGAUUAGCUAGUUGGUGAGGUAACGGCCCACCAAGGCGACGAUCAGUAGCCGGCCUGAGAGGGUGAACGGCCACAUUGGGACUGGGACACGGCCCAAACUCCUACGGGAGGCAGCAGUGGGGAAUAUUGCACAAUGGGGGAAACCCUGAUGCAGCGACGCCGCGUGAGUGAAGAAGUAUUUCGGUAUGUAAAGCUCUAUCAGCAAGGAAGAUAAUGACGGUACUUGACUAAGAAGCCCCGGCUAACUACGUGCCAGCCGCCGCCGUAA